UACGUAGGGUGCGAGCGUUAAUCGGAAUUACUGGGCGUAAAGCGUGCGCAGGCGGUUUUGUAAGUCUGUCGUGAAAUCCCCGGGCUCAACCUAGGAAUUGCGAUGGAGACUGCAAGGCUAGAAUCUGGCAGAGGGGGGUAGAAUUCCACGUGUAGCAGUGAAAUGCGUAGAGAUGUGGAGGAACACCGAUGGCGAAGGCAGCCCCCUGGGUCAAGAUUGACGCUCAUGCACGAAAGCGUGGGGAGCAAACAGG
rnacentral:rRNA from 1 species